GCUUCCAAUAUUCUAAAUAAUAUGCUUUUCUCUUCUGUUAUUGAUUUUUAAUCAUAAUUUUUGAUAAUUAUAUGAGUUUAUAUUUAACCACAAACACUAUCAAUUGGCUUCCCAAUAGGGAAUAUAAACUUUCAUACCAUAUGUACAACAUAUACUGAUUAAGCUAUUUUCAUAUAAUGUUUUGGAAGUGAGGAUUCACAAGUGAAUUUGCACAUGUAUAAUUUUAUGUGACCCUCACAGAGUUGUUGACACAUAUGUUGUCAUAUCAUUCCCAUUUAAAAUAUAAGAAAAUUAGAACAAAGAUAAAUGUUGUGCCCAAGACCACAUGACUAGAAAAUAGCAGAGAUGGAACUAUAGACCAGAAUGUGUGCUCUUAAUAUACUGGUUUUUUUUUUUCCAAUUUUACUUCAACAGCUAAAGUGUCUAUGGAACCAUUUUGCUUAGAUUCUUUUCUACUAAAAACUCUGUCAAGGCCCUGUUCCAGUGGCACCUUCUUCCCGAAACUUUCACCCCUGGGCGAGUCUUUUCUCUAUGUUUUCAUAGCCGUUUGUCUCUGUCAUAGCCUUAUCACAAUGAAUCAUAAGUUGCCCUUUCCGCAAUGCUCAAAGUUAGAGUGUGAGCUCAUCAAAGCCCUGGACAGCUUCUAAUUCCUCUUUCUGUCCCCAGAGUGCCGCAGGGCAUUAGGCACCUCCUGGAAGGUGCUCAGCCAUCAGGGAAAAUGAAGAGGCAUCUUUAUGCAGAGUCCUGUGCUAGGUGCUGGGGGCACACAGGUGACUAAAACAGCACAUUUCCCGACUUCCAAACCCCCAGCUUGGGUAGCAGUCAGAUGUACCAUUGUCAUAAACCUCAGUGCUAACACCAGCAGGUGGAACUUUGACAAUCACAAUUGAUUGCUAUUUAUCUGACAGAGCACGAAGAAGUCUGGUUACAGAACAACAGGCUAAGGUAAAGCAAAAGGUAAGUCAGAUGGCCAGAGAUGGCUAUGGGAAAUCAGGGUCCUUAUUCCCUGGGUUUGUGUGGAUCAUGCCUUACAGGGACAAGAGGCAUUGAGUACUUGAAGGGAAACUUCCCUCCUCAACUUUCAAAACCCAGUCAGUUCCUUGGACCAGGGCAGGGGUCCUGGCUUUGGUAAGUCAAAACUCACAGAAGACUCAGAACUCUCAACAACUCUCAUCAUCUUUGCAUAUGCAGAUGAAAACACACUCCUGGGGAUCUACAAAUGUUCAUUGUAGAAAAUGUCAGUGGCGUGAUUCCCACCAAUGGUCCUCUGCCUUUAGCUUUUUAAAGCCCUACACGCUUAUAAUUGAAGUCACAUUUGUAAACAUAAAGCAUUUCCAAUAAUGACUAUAAGAAUAUUUAAUACUUUAUGAACAGUUUGUAUUUCCUGUCUAGAAAUAUCCUAAAAACCAUCUGUGGAGUAAGUUUAGAUUCUGAGCUCAGAAGUGAAGUUUUCAAAUAUAGCCUCCCGUGCUCUGAUGAUUGAAAUAAACAGGUGCUCAACUGGAAAAAUAUUUCUUUUUUUUUUCCCCAUGCAAUAAUAGAAUUCAUGAAGUGAUUCUAUGGCAUUUAGGCCUGUAGACAUUUAUAUUCAAGCUUUGUUUUAGUAUUUUUUAACAUGUGAUUUUUUUAGAACUAUUGAGUGACUUAUGAAAAAUACAGUAACCUGUUGUUAUCUGUCAUAUUUUAGGAGUUCUCUGUUAAUGAAAUAUUCUGGUUCAAAGAGAGUUCACUAAUUUACAAAUUAAGAGGUGUCAAAAAAGGAUACUAAGGAAUAGUAAUAAUACUCAGAAUAAUACUUAAAAUAAUUUACUAGAUCUUGAAACAAAUUUAUCUUAAUAUUCUGCAAAGAAAUUUGAGUGAGAAACCAAAGCAACUUGCUUGUAAUAAAAAGUGGCUCCACAGAUUUCCAACGUGCCAAGUAUUCUCUUAAGUAUUUUAUGUACAUGUUUACCUUAGUAGGCAUAAAAAAAUCCAAGGAGAAACUAUGAUUAUUAUUGUUUUACAAAUGAAAUUUGGUAAUAAUUUUUGUCAAAAAUUGCUAUUAAAAGUUGUAGUCAGAAUCUUAUCGGAGUCUACCUAGUUCUAAAGUGUACUCUCACCUCUCUUCUUUGUGGCAUUCAGCAAUCCUUUGAUGGUAGAAGAUGCUUAUCAAGUCAUACAAGGAUGUAAAUAGGAAAAUGAAAUAUUUCCCAAAAAAGCUAAACAGUCUCUCUUUUGUCAAAAAUAUCAUCAUCAUCAUUGAUAACAAACAUCUGCCAUCCCCAAAAACAGCCACCCAAAUUACAUCAAUGAUAUUGAGUUGUUGAAAAUUCCUCAUGCCUGGCAAGUAAUGGUCACUUUGGAUUCAAAAUAUCAGCUCAAUAGAAGGAACCACAAAUGGAAACAAUUCUGUAGCUUUGAUACAAAGCAUUCAUUGAAAAGGUAAUUUAUAAGAAAGGCAGACUGAAUGGAUUUCAGGAUGAAAGAAUGAAUGUUAAAUUAGGCUUUUAAAAUCUUGAAUAAAGGAAGUUUCAGAGUGACCAAAUAUAAUUUCGUUUAAAAUUUUCUUCUUUCAUAUUAGCAUUUUUUAAGAAUAGCCAGUUAUCCAUCUUUAGCUGGCUUCUGAAAUUAAAUGAAUUGAUUUUUAAAAAGAGGGUUUUAAUAAGAUAUUUCUUGGUGCAUAUUCAUCUUCAUCCACAGUGUCCUCAUAGAGUCCAAGAGCUAAAGAGUAAUUUGAGGUUGUGCCCUUUUAGGACCAGGUGAAAUGGCAGUUAUCAAUGUAAUGGGGUCAGCAGAGGGCCGAACAGCUUUUCCUUACUUAGCAUGUAAAAGAAAAUGUGGGCAAAUUAACUGUGUGUAACUAAAUCUCCACUUUAUUUGGUGCUGGGUAGCCAUAUUGCUAGGACUAGAUUUAUCUUUUAAAAUGGAACUCUGGACAAUCCUGUAACAGUUCAUUUCACAUUCUUGGUCAUAUGUGUACAUAAUAACAAAACUCACAUGUAUUUAAUACUUACUACAUGCCAGGUUUUAGUUUAGUUUCAUGUAUACUACUCCAUUCUCACAAUAACACUAUGAGAUACCGAUUUUGUCAGGAUGCAUUACAGAAAAAAUGAAACCACUUUAUGCAAGCUGGGAUUCAAUACAAAAAAUUAGAUGUGUACAAAGUUGUUGGAAAGGGUGAAGGAAUAGGUUCUAGGUUGGGCCUCCAGGAGUAAUUCUCAGAGAAAUACAGAACUCUCUCACUAGGAAAGCUACGACUUUUAAGGUCACCGAGAGCUGGUAAAUUCAAUAAUGCAUCCCAGAGCAGGAAUCCAGAUUUGAGAAGCUGCUGCAGACCCCACUGCUACCCCUGCUGUUGACACCAAAGAAGCUAGAAAAAGGACGCUGGACUCCUGCUGCUGAUGUAGCCUCACACCUCCAAGAUCUAGCUUGCCAGCAGAAAAUUGGCCAAGUGAGGUCAGAGCAAUGAAUCUGCACACUGUUGGAGAUGGAAAAAAAGAACCAAGUUGGAUCCUACCUGUAAUUGCUAAAUGUGUAAAUGCCUUAAAAGAGUUCCACCCUGGAAAAAGUAAUCCCUUCCAUAUGCUGAAAUCAGACCAUCAGGAUCAGCUCUCUUCUACCUGAGAUGGGUGCAACCUGGGUAAAAAUACACCAGGGAGAAAGAGGACUUAUGCUUGCUGUUUGGUGGACCACUGGGAACCACUGGGACAGAACGCAAUGCAGGUUUCUCUUUCUGUGUAGCCAAACAUACAAACAGGCUAAAUCAGAUUUCUCUUCCUAAGAAAAAAACUCUAAAGCUCUUUAAAAGUACCAUUUAUGUACAAUAGCAAAUAUGUUCAUUGUAGAUCACUUUUAGCUGUUCAGUAAACCAGAUCCCCUGGGGACAUUUUAUGCCAAUGCUUUGGAAAUUAGUCCUUGUUACUUUAUGUAAUUGAAACAAUAAAGCUAAGUGCCUAUUA